CCUGUCCGUCUGGAUUCCCUGUAGCCGGAGGAAUCAUCGAGACCACAAAACCUGAUCCUCCUUGUUUCCCGAAGAGCCUGUCUCACCUGUCCGCCCUCCAACGCCGCCGUCGCCCGUCCUCUCUGCUCCAACCCCCGAUCCACCGUGCUGCCUAUCCCUCUCAGCUCCGCUUUAUCCACCAGCAAGAAGACCAUUGGUCCGGUUCCGCCCUCCCGAGUGUCCCAUCCUGGAUGUCUUUCACAUUUUACACCGUGUUUAUAAUAAACCACUGAUCUU